rnacentral:rRNA from 1 species
GACGAACGCUGGCGGCGUGCUUAACACAUGCAAGUCGAGCGGGAAACUUCGGUUUCCAGCGGCGGACGGGUGAGGAACACGUGGGCAACCUGCCUCACAAUGAGGGAUAGCCUUCCGAAAGGAAGAUUAAUACCUCAUAACACAAGAGAAACGCAUGUUUCUCUUGCCAAAGAAUUUCGUUGUGAGAUGGGCCCGCGGCGCAUUAGCUUGUUGGUGAGGUAACGGCUCACCAAGGCUUCGAUGCGUAGCCGACAUGAGAGGGUGAUCGGCCACAUUGGAACUGAGACACGGUCCAGACUCCUACGGGAGGCAGCAGUGGGGAAUAUUGCACAAUGGAGGAAACUCUGAUGCAGCAACGCCGCGUGAGUGAUGAAGGUCUUCGGAUUGUAAAGCUCUGUCUUCUGGGACGAUAAUGACGGUACCAGAGGAGGAAGCCACGGCUAACUACGUGCCAGCCGCCGCUGUAACAC